AUUUGAUUGUUUUUUUUCUGUUUCUAUUUCUAAUUUCUUUAUCAUUUUCUUAUUCUUUGCAUUUUCCGUUGUAUGCAAGUGUUUUGCUUCAAACCAAAAUAACAGCGUCGCCAAAACUGGCUCCGGAGGAACUAACAGGCAUUUUAAAACUGGAAAGCUGAAGAAAUAAGGAUUUCCCGGUCCGGAUAAACUUAUAAAAAGAUUUCGAAACA
rnacentral:ribozyme from 18 species